GAUGAACGCUGGCGGUGUGCCUAAUACAUGCAAGUCGAGCGAACAGACGAGGAGCUUACUCCUCUGACGUUAGCGGCGGACUGGUGAGUAACACGUGGAUAACCUACCUAUAAGACUGGGAUAACUUCGGGAAACCGGCGCUAAUUCCGGAUAACAUGUUGAACCGCAUGGUUCAACAGUGAAAGACGGUCUUGCUGUCACUUAUAGAUGGAUCCGCGUCGCAUUAGCUAGUUGGUAAGGUAACGGCUUACCAAGGCAACGAUGCGUAGCCGACCUGAGAGGGUGAUCGGCCACACUGGAACUGAGACACGGUCCAGACUCCUACGGGAGGCAGCAGUAGGGAAUCUUCCGCAAUGGGCGAAAGCCUGAAGGAGCAACGCCGCGUGAGUGAAGAAGGUGUCAGGAUCGAAAAACUAGGUUAUUAGGGAAGAACAAAUAUGUAAGUAACGAUGCACGUCGUGACGAUACCAAAGCAGAAAGCCACGGCAAAAUACGUG
rnacentral:rRNA from 1 species